GGAAGGAGAAGUGGAACAAGGUUUCCGUAGGUGAACCUGCGGAAGGAUCAUUG
rnacentral:rRNA from 1 species